UCAGAGCCACCGAACAAAAUUCGCUGUAUCGACUUUUCCGAAUCGGAUCAUCCAUCCGUAUCUCAUGCAGCCGAAGAAAGGAUAAUUUCCGCUUUAAAAGAACGAAACAACCAUCUUGAAGUGCAGAAUGCGGCCCUACACAGGAAAAUAGAUAUCCUCGCAGAGAAGCUGGCGG